rnacentral:rRNA from 1 species
UACGUAGGGUGCAAGCGUUGUCCGGAAUUAUUGGGCGUAAAGCGCGCGUAGGCGGUUUCUUAAGUCUGAUGUGAAAGCCCACGGCUCAACCGUGGAGGGUCAUUGGAAACUGGAGGACUUGAGUGCAGAAGAGGAGAGUGGAAUUCCACGUGUAGCGGUGAAAUGCGUAGAGAUGUGGAGGAACACCAGUGGCGAAGGCGACUCUCUGGUCUGUAACUGACGCUGAGGCGCGAAAGCGUGGGGAGCAAACAAG